AUUGAACGCUGGCGGCAUGCCUUACACAUGCAAGUCGAACGGCAGCGGGGGAGAAGCUUGCUUUUCCUGCCGGCGAGUGGCGAACGGGUGAGUAAUACAUCGGAACAUGCCCUGUAGUGGGGGAUAACUAGUCGAAAGAUUAGCUAAUACCGCAUACGACCUGAGGGUGAAAGUGGGGGACCGCAAGGCCUCAUGCUAUAGGAGCGGCCGAUGUCUGAUUAGCUAGUUGGUGGGGUAAAGGCCUACCAAGGCGACGAUCAGUAGCUGGUCUGCGAGGACGAUCAGCCACACUGGGACUGAGACACGGCCCAGACUCCUACGGGAGGCAGCAGUGGGGAAUUUUGGACAAUGGGCGAAAGCCUGAUCCAGCAAUGCCGCGUGUGUGAAGAAGGCCUUCGGGUUGUAAAGCACUUUUGUCCGGAAAGAAAUGGCUCUGGUUAAUACCUGGGGUCGAUGACGGUACCGGAAGAAUAAGGACCGGCUAACUACGUGCCAGCCGCCGCAGUAA
rnacentral:rRNA from 1 species